rnacentral:rRNA from 1 species
GACGAACGCUGGCGGCGCGCCUAACACAUGCAAGUCGAACGGAGAAAGAGCUUCGGUUCUUUCUUAGUGGCGGACGGGUGAGUAACGCGUGAGCAACCUGCCCUUCAGAGGGGGAUAACGACUGGAAACGGCCGCUAAUACCGCAUGAUAUGUCGAGGUGACAUCAUCUUGGCAUCAAAGGAGAAAUCCGCUGAAGGAUGGGCUCGCGUCCGAUUAGGUAGUUGGUGAGGUAACGGCUCACCAAGCCCGCGAUCGGUAGCCGGACUGAGAGGUUGGCCGGCCACAUUGGGACUGAGACACGGCCCAGACUCCUACGGGAGGCAGCAGUGGGGGAUAUUGCACAAUGGAGGAAACUCUGAUGCAGCGACGCCGCGUGAGGGAAGAAGGUCUUCGGAUUGUAAACCUCUGUCUUCAGGGACGAAACAAAUGACGGUACCUGAAGAGGAAGCCACGGCUAACUACGUG